UGAGUUUGUUGAAGUGGACGUUCUCCGUAGCAACCAUAAGACGCAAAGGAAAAUAGUACUGUAGCUAGUUUCUCUGAGAGAAGAGAAACUAUCUUUCACGCCCCAGUUGGAGAUCUUGAUAAAACCACACCCCUCAGCGGUAUAAUUUUUCAAAACCAAUUGGAAUUCAGAUAGUUGCACUUCCCCUCGUACCAGCCCGGACACACAUUACAUACAUUAUUCUCGGCCACAAAAUGGCUGAGUCGUAUGCAUUAUUUGGGGAAGACCAAUUCUCUUGUUCAAUCUGUCUGGAUCUACUGAAGAACCCUGUGACCAUUCCUUGUGGACACAGUUACUGCAUGGGCUGUAUAAAGGACUAUUGGGAUCUAAAUGACCGCAUGGGUGUCUACGCCUGCCCUCAGUGCCGACAGACCUUCACCCCAAGGCCUGCUCUGAGCAAAAAUACCAUGUUUGCAGAGGUAGUGGAAAGACUGAAGAAGAUUGAAGAGUUCCAAGCUGACCCUCACGUUCCUUGUUAUGCUAAACCAGGGGAUAUUGAGUGUGAUGUCUGUGUUGGGAGAAAACAGAAAGCCAUUAAGUCUUGUCUUCUGUGUCUGGCCUCAUACUGUGAAACACACCUCAAGCUUCAUGACAAACUCAACCCUGGAAAACGACACACACUUGUGGAAGCCUCCAUACAGCUUCAGGAGAAGAUCUGCUCUCAGCAUGACAAACUACUGGAAGUUUACUGCCGUACUGAUCAACGUUGUAUCUGUUAUGAGUGUUUGAUGGGUGUACACAAAGGCCACGAAACAGUUUCAGCUGCAGCUGAAGGCACUGCAAAACAGAAUGAACUGAAGGAGACAAACAGGAAAUACAAGCAAAUAAUCGCCAGGAAAGAGAAGGAACUAUUGUGGUUGAAGCAGGCCAUGAGGUCUCUCACAUACUCCGCACAGAUAGCCGUGGAAGACAGUGACAAGGUCUUUACUGAAAUAAUCUGCUCUGUUGAGAAGUGGUACUCUGAUGUGAAAAGACUGAUCAGAUCACAGGAGAAGGCUGCUGUUGGCCCGGCUGAGGAGCAGAUUGACCAACUGCAAAGGGAGAUUUUAGAGCUGAGGAGGAGAGAUACUGAGCUUGAGCAGUUGUUAAAAACAGAAGAUUUUAUUAUUUUCCUCCAGGACUCAGGACCCAACUUGAAUAUGAAGAUUGUGUGUGUGUGUGUGUGUGUGUGUCUUUAGAGAUGUCAAUCUGUCCCAGCCCUCCCUGGAUAUGGAGACACAUCCAGCAUCAAUGUGAGUCAGCAAGUCUCUUUUGAAGGUGUGAAGAAAACUGUGGCUGAGCUGAAACAGCGAUUGGAGGACUUCUGCGAAGGGGCCUUUGCAAACAUCUCUAAAAAAGUACAGGAUAUUCAUAUUCUGCAGGCAUCAAAGCCUUGUCCACCUCUACCCCAGGUAACAGACAAGUGUGUGGAGAGUAAAGAACCAACAACAAGAGAGGAGUUUUUGAAAUAUGCCUGUCAGCUCACAUUGGACCAAAACACUGCACAUAAAAACCUCCUUCUCUCUAGGGACAACAAAGUGGCUGGAUGGAAUGAUUUUGCACUACCUUAUCCUGACCACCCAGAUAGAUUUGAUAACAUGCCUGUGGUAAUGUGCAGAGAGGCUUUGACAGGGCGCUGUUACUGGGAGGUUGAAUGGGAUGGAAUACAGGCUAUCAUAGCUGUAUCAUAUAAGGGGAUAAACAGGAAAAAAAAACUCAGCCCCCCUGAUGCAUUCUCCAAAUUUCUAGAAUUUUAUGAACAAUCCUGGAGUUUGGACUGGAAUAUAGCCCAAGUCUGUGAGAAUAAGAAAAAGAUUCAACUAACUGCUUGGUCCUCUAGGAGAAUAGGACUGUUCUUGGAUCACAAGGCAGGAACUCUAGCAUUUUACAACAUUGCUGAUAAAAUGACCCUCAUCUAUAGAGUAAAAACAACAUUCACUCAACCACUCUAUCCUGCUUUCUGGAUCAAAAUACAGUCCAAAAUAAAAUUGUGCCCCCUGAAAUAAAUUUAAAUGGCUGAUUACAACACAAUCCAUUUGCAGAGUAGGGCAAGGCAGAAGGAGUAGUUUACAUGUAUCUUCAAACUGUUUAUUGUACAUUGAGAAAAAUAUGGGAAUUGUGUAUAAUGUGCAUUUUCUUUAAAACUGCAUUCCACCAAGUAUACAAAUGAUUUUAUGAAUAGUGGUAAUUGUAUAUACUACCUACUUUUAUGCAAGAAUUAAAUAAAUAAAUCAAUAUGCUAACA